rnacentral:lncRNA from 1 species
AACAAAGUUCUGGGCAAAUUCCAUUAACGUAUCUCUGAAUAUAUCAGUGUAGUGGCACAAUUAGGGAAACAUUUUGAUCUGAAUGACCACACUUGAUUUUCCAACAAUCUUACAAGAUAGUCAAGGCAAGUAUUUGUGCCAUUUCAUACAUGAAGAAGCUGAGAAUCUCAGCCAUUAGGUCAUCACCAGGCAACAUGGAACAGGACCGCUAGAGGUCUCACAGCAACUCUAGCACUGUCCCUCUGCCCCUGCCAUCUGUCCGUAGUUGUGAAUGAGCAUUUAGAGUCAUUUCCUACGUACAAUAUCACUUUGCCCUGAAGCACAGUAGUAUCAGCUAGACAACAUCACACUUAAGAUCCUUCUAAUCUUAUGAUUUAAUGUGACGGUUUUCCAUUAUGGAAACUACUGAAGGCUAGCUAUGCUCCCCCAAAAUAGGGGUAAUUGGAUGAGAAAGGGUUCCAGGAGCACAAUGAAGAGAAGUCCAUCAGGGCAGGAUUCCAUGGCCACCGAACCAAAGGGUACAAGAGCUGACUUCGUCCAGACCCCGACCUUCCGUGAGAGGAUAGAUAUUUUGGUUCUCAUCUUACACAGGAGCUGACUGUAGUCCGCAGAGGCUAAUCCAUUCAGAGGAGGAGGAGAGAUUAAAGAUUUAAUGGAAGAAGAGAAGCCAUGGGUGACGGGAUAAAUCGUUCCUGGUAAUCAGACAGCUAAAAAGUGUUGCAAGGGGAUCCGGUUUCAGGUCCUCUGCUUCCAAACCUCGAGCUCAUUUUACUACAUGUUAAUAGAUUUCUCUGCUCUUUAGAUCUUCAGUUUUUUUUUUUAAUUUUUAUUUAUUUAAGAGAGAGAGAGAGAGAGAGAGAGGCAGAGACACAGCAGAGGGAGAAGCAGGCUNAAUUUUUAUUUAUUUAAGAUAGAUAGAUAGAGAGAGAGAGAGAGAGAGAGGCAGAGACGUAGGCAGAGGGAGA